rnacentral:rRNA from 1 species
UCUUCGGGGAUGAUUAAACCGGCGCACGGGUGAGUAACACGUGAGUGACCUGCCUUUUAGACUGGAACAACUUACCGAAAGGUGAGCUAAUGCCGGAUGAGUUAUAUAAGUGCAUGUUUAUAUAGGAAAAGUUGGGGAGACCUGACGCUGAAAGAUGGACUCGCGUCCCAUUAGCUAGUUGGUAGGGUAAUGGCCUACCAAGGCGACGAUGGGUAGCCGGCCUGAGAGGGUGGCCGGCCACACUGGGACUGAGACACGGCCCAGACUCCUACGGGAGGCAGCAGUGGGGAAUUUUGCGCAAUGCUCGUAAGAGUGACGCAGCGACGCCGCGUGAAUGACGAAGGCCUUCGGGUCGUAAAGUUCUUUCGACAGGGAAGAAAAUGCCUAUAAGUAACUGUGUAUGUAUUGACGGUACCUGUAUAAGCAGCCCCGGCUAACUCCGUGCCAGCAGCCGCGGUAAUACGGAGGGGGCGAGCGUUGUUCGGAGUGACUGGGCGUAAAGAGCACGUAGGCGGUGUUGUAAGUCAUUAGUCAAAGACUAGAGCUCAACUUUAGUAAGGCUAGUGAUACUAUAAUACUAGAGUAUCAGAGAGGAUUGCAGAAUUCCUGGUGUAGCGGUGAAAUGCGUAGAUAUCAGGAGGAAUACCGUUAGCGAAGGCGGCAAUCUGGCUGGAAACUGACGCUGAGGUGCGAAAGCGUGGGUAGCAAACAGGAUU